rnacentral:misc_RNA from 1 species
UUUCCGUAGGUGAACCUGCGGAAGGAUCAUUAACGAGUUCAUGCCCUCCAUGGUAGAUUUCCCACCAUUGAAUAUUUAUACCUUAGUUGCGUUGGCAGGCCGUGGAAUCACCAUGGGCCCCGACUUAUGCGUGCCUGCCAUGGGAAACAAACCCUGUUUUUAGUGAUGUCAGAUUACUAUAUAAUAGUUAAAACUUUCAACAACGGAUCUCUUGGUUCUG